AAAGAUAAUAAUAAAUAAAUAAAUUCAAAACCCUUAUCUAACAAAGAUCUCUCCACUACAGCCUUCGAUUCCACGAGAUAACUAAUAUAAUCUAACCUAUACACAUAAACAGCAAAAAAUUUUAGUUCAAAUCUACAAAAAAAUAAAAAUAAAAAAAUUGGAAGCUAAAAUUGUCCAUAAUCUACAAUACAAAUAGAAAAGUUUCUUUAUAAAAAAAUAUUAACGUACAUGAAAGUAAACAUGAAAUAUUACCGGUGUCUAAUUUCUAUACUAUUUCAAAGGUAUUUUCUCGUUUCACAGAGAAGUAGAGGUAAAGAAUGAAGGUAAACAAUUAAGAAGAAACACGGCAGACGAAAAAAAUUUUCGUGAGAAAUGAUUUAGAAAAAACAGAUUGGAAUCAAAAUUCACAUUAUACAUUUUACAGACAAUGACAGACUGCAUUUGUUAUAUGAAAAUUGAAAAGACCAUGACACCCUAACUUUAAUAAUCAUUUUGUCAAAAAUACCCUUAACUUAAUGCUUCACAUUAUUUUCAAUCAAUUUUGAUAUUGAGGAUAGAGUGGGAAUUCAUAACAUUUACCAGCACCAUGCCAUAAAAGUCAAAUUUGUAACAAAUAAUUUUCCUACUCACUAACAUUGAGAAAUGAAUGCUGGCCCACAACAAUUGUACAAGGUCUGACGUGGAGACAAUAGAAAAGCAGUAGAAGAAGUAGACUAUGUGGUAUAGAGAAGAAAGCGUGUCCCAUUUUCUUACAUGAAUAAACUAAUAUAGCAAAAUCGGAUAAGUUGGAUGUAGUGUGAAAAGCAAUGUGACAUAAAUGGAUAGUAAUAUUAAAGCCUCUCUUUUAAGAGGUAGUAGAUAGUAGAUAUUGAAUUGAAUAUUGGUGAGUUGAUACUUAUGUUCUUGUAAUUUUUAACUUUUCUUAUUCGCUCUUAUGUGAUUCUUAAAAUGGUUAAUCUUCGAUUGUGAGAUAAAGGCUAAAGCACACAUUGUAGAUGGGGUUGGGGUGUGAGAAGCAUACUAUUUUUUGAAUACUUUUGAUGGGUUUUUGGAAAAGAAAUUGAAAAAGAAUGAAAUUCACUUAAAAUGCCAAGUAUAAAAUGUUGAAGAGAGAAGCGCAAAAGAGGUCGGAACAUUGAACUGUAGGUGCAAUUUAUCGUUAUAACUAUACUGAAGAUAUAGGGAUUAUCUGAUUUUGUAAGUUAGGCAAUAUAGAGUUCAUAAUCUGGAGUCAAGAUGGUAUCCUUUGUCUUCUCCAUUAUCAUAGUUUAAUUGUUUUUUUUUUUUUUUUUAUUGAAGCCUUUUUUAUUCUGUAUCGGGAACUGAUAAAUUAUGUCCAGGCAUAAGACCGUCGAAUCUAUGUGUAAACUAGCUAUUUUGUACUGAUCUUCCGUUACUUCCUUAAUCACAGUAGGAAAUUCUCAUACAUCGCAAAAUUUCUUCAAAAGAAGUAUGUGAUUGAUGUAGAUUUCAUGAUGGUGGUGACUGUAGGGAUAGUAUAUUGGAAAGAACAAUGAUGUCCCUGCUACAAUUGAAGCCAACAUUUUUAUCAUUUAUGUUUAUCAUGAUUAGUCUUGCUAAUUUUUUUCACACACACUAAUGUGAGCUUUCUAUUUGUUUAUCCUCGAUAUUUUCAACUUAAUUGUGGGAGGUGGCUACUCUUAAGAUGUUGGAAUUCAUAAUGGAACUCAGAAAGGUACUCUAUAUUCUGUUUUUCUUUUUGUUGUCAUACAUGUUCUCGAUGAAGAGUAAUUUGGUGAGAAUUACCAAAAAAAAAAAAAAAAAAUUUGAUUUAAGUUCUAAAACUUUUUCUUGAUAGGUUACUACAAUUGGUGUUGUUCGAAGUUUUGUCCUAGUUAAGAUAUUUGAGCAACUCGGAAAAUAAGGUCAACUUCUACUUGAUUUUGAUUUCAAAUGCUCGAUUAAUUUUUAUUUACUGAAUAUAAAUCUUGUAAUGAUGAGCUUUAUGAUACAUAUAACUUCUUUUCUUAAUAAUUCGACCUAACGUCAAGAAAUGUCCCAAAUGAACUUAAUUGGACUCCUUCAAAAUAGUGCAGUAAUCUAUAUGAAAAGUUAUAUUAGGCUACAAGUUUUAUUCACAUUCAGUAAUGUUUCUUAAGAUCAGUUCGAGAUGGAGAGAAUAUACACUCAUUUUAAAAUGAUGGCGAAAAAAAUUCCAUUAUGAAGUAUGUGUUCAUGCAUCAUCUUAUUUUACAUGGGACAAUGUAUGGAUCUCUACCAAGCUAUUUCUUUGGAAAGUUCCUACUUACAAAUUAAUGAAAAAGGAUAUUUAUUUUGCACAAAGAAUGUCUGGAAAAGGUGUUUAUUUUUCUUCUCUGAUUAUGUCUAUGGAACUACAAUGAAUUUUAUCUGAGUAAUAGAGAUGAUGAUGGGGGUGGAUUCGGUCUAUAAUGAAUUUUUCCUACUGGGCAGCCGAAUACAUAUCUGGAAGGACAAAUGUUUAGUGUUUGUACCGUUGGUAGAAGAUUCUUAAUCCAGAAGUUGUGAAAAACCUUUGGACAAAGGAGGUUCUUUAUUCUUUUUUUGUAGAAUCUUUGGUCACUUAGAAAUGAUAGUAAAGAUGCUUUCUAUUAACUUCUUGUCUAUUUAUCAUGUUUGUGGUCAUUGGUAUAUAAACAAGAUGUUAAUCAACUAACGUGCAACACACGUUCACCACACUAGUUAUCAAAAAAUCUACAUCAAAUGGGCAAUAGUAGAGGGACUUGAUGACCGAGUUCAUCUAUUAGUUGAUGUAACAUAUUGAUAAGAUUCCAAACACAUCAGUUUAUAUUUUGCUGAAUUCCUGAAUGAAAAUACAAGUUUGGCAGUUAUUGAGAGACCUGAUAUCCCCACUUUUCUCUCCAAGCUUCUAAAUAUCCCAAGUGAAACUACAUACCCUUCCCAAUUUAUAAAUAGCAUCUACUAGAAAAAGAUUAAUAGAAAGUUUUUAAGAAUUUUUUAGGAGGAAAGUGGGGAUCACGAAAUUUGUGGAUAAUAAUGAAUUCUCUCUCCGUCCCAUUUAUAUAGGCUGAUUUUGUUUUUUACAUUGAUUAGGAAAUCUUAUUUAAUGUUAUUGAUUGAAAAAAGAAAUUUUUGUUAAAAACUUCCACAAUAUACCCUUAUUUAUAUUUUUACAAUUUCAAGAUUCAAUUGGAAAAAUUGUUUACAACUAGGCAAAUUAAAUAAGGUAUAUGACAAUUGAAGUAACUAUUAAUAUAAGGUUCUAUCACGUAUCAAUAAUUGUUGAUGAUAAAUUGAGGAAAUGGCGAUAUAUAAGGUUGAGACAUGCUUUGCGUAGACGCAAAGAGAUUCUUUUUCGUGCGAUUUCAAUAGAACAUUUCAGAAUAUGAAGGGAUAGGGCAAGAAAAGUGUGGCUUGUUGAGGUUGUGAGGCUUUUGGUUUAGUUUGUAUAUUCUUCCAGAAAUCUAACAUGAACACCAAACAAAGCGAUGAAAAAAAUUUAUGUGGUCAAUCCCAAAUUUAUUAUGGUUUAAUCGAUUGUUGCAUUUAAUUUAUAUUAUUGAUGCAACUAAGAUUGGUUUCUAAAAGUCUGCACUUAUGUUUCCCUUCAUUUUCCCAUCCGUAGGAGUUAUGCUAGCUCUGGUCUGUAGGAUUAUCAUCUUUUACCCUAGAUCGAUUUAUAAUGUCUUCUUUUUUUAUGUCUAUCUUGCUAGAAAUUAAAUUCAUACUUCUCUAUUAAAAAAAAAAUGGAAAAGGAAAAAAAAAAAAAAAAACUACUUGAACUAUAACCCGAACCAUAAAAGACUCCAUUUUUAUUCUAACCAUGUUUAGCAACAACUUUUACCAGUCAUGGCGAGCAAACAUCGAUGACAUAGGCGAGUGACGACUUGGAACUGCGUUCGAUCUCUGCAAAAACAUGCCCGAAAAUCGAAACAUUGAAUUCAGUACCGAAACCAAGUCCAACAGCACAAAUGAAAAUUCUUGAUAUAUGCUGAUGCUCUUCCUCAACAUUACGUUCAUCAAUACAGACAAUGCAUCCUCAAAUCUUGACAUUUUAUUGGAUGUUUCUUCUUUUUUGCAUCACAAGACUUUGGGAUCAUCAAUUAGUUGACCAUUAUUAUACUUGUAAUAUUUCGACACUUCCUAUUUUACGACAGUAGAUCUAGGGAAUUUGAUUAGAUCUGCACUUACUGAAAUACCCCUUUGCUUUCUUUGCAGUACACGCAACAACAAUUGAGUACAACAAUUGAGUUCCUUAAACCCUUAAGGCCGUUUUUCAAUACUUCUGCUUUUUUUAGCACAGGGCCUUGUCAUAAGAAAGCUCUUUUGUAAGAAACAAAAACAAAAGUAGAAAUUAUGAAUACUGUAAAAAAUUAUCGAACAAACACAAAAGCAGCUUCUUUGUUUCAUAAAUAGCUUUUUGACUUUUCGAAAAUUUUGCUAAAUCGAUCCUUAGUCAAUAGUUUUAUUUUAUUUUAAUCAUCCCACACAACUAAAGAGUGUUUAUUAACAAGGAUAUAUAUCAAUAAAAUAUAAUUCAAGAUGGAAAUACAAACUUACCAUAAAAAGUAUGUAAACUAAGCUAAAGGACAAGACUAAGAUAACCCCAUAAAUAUAUAUUUCGUGUGCCCGCUCAUACUUCGCCGCCUCGAAGAGAUUUAAGUGUUAAAGACUCCGAUCCUUAGUCAAUAGUUUUAUUUUAUUUUAAUCAUCCCACACAACUAAAGAGUGUUUAUUAACAAGGAUAUAUAUCAAUAAAAUAUAAUUCAAGAUGGAAAUACAAACUUACCAUAAAAAGUAUGUAAACUAAGCUAAAGGACAAGACUAAGAUAACCCCAUAAAUAUAUAUUUCGUGUGCCCGCUCAUACUUCGCCGCCUCGAAGAGAUUUAAGUGUUAAAGACUGAAUUACUCCAGGCUUCAUCGCUAAAAACUUUCUUUAUCUGAACUGUAAUUCGACAUUAGCAGUUGAAUGAGAUGCUGGGGC
rnacentral:lncRNA from 1 species